GAUGAACGCUGGCGGCGUGCCUAACACAUGCAAGUCGAGCGAUUUACUUCGGUAAAGAGCGGCGGACGGGUGAGUAACGCGUGGGUAACCUGCCCUGUACACACGGAUAACAUACCGAAAGGUAUGCUAAUACGAGAUAAUAUACUUUUAUCUCAUGGUAGAAGUAUCAAAGCUCUGGCGGUACAGGAUGGACCCGCGUCUGAUUAGCUAGUUGGUAAGGUAACGGCUUACCAAGGCGACGAUCAGUAGCCGACCUGAGAGGGUGAUCGGCCACAUUGGAACUGAGACACGGUCCAAACUCCUACGGGAGGCAGCAGUGGGGAAUAUUGCACAAUGGGCGAAAGCCUGAUGCAGCAACGCCGCGUGAGCGAUGAAGGCCUUCGGUCGUAAAGCUCUGUCCUCAGAAGAUAAUGACGGUACUUGUAGGAGGAAGCCCGGCUAACUACGUGCCAGCAGCCGCGGUAA
rnacentral:rRNA from 1 species